AUAGAAAGCUACAGAUACAACCGCCGGAAACGCAACUCCUAAGUAAAACAAAAAUCUCCUACAUAACAUAGUUUUUCUACAAAUCAAGGAUGAAGACUGUCCAGGUGGUGCUCAUAUGCCUUGUCCUUUCGGUGCUCUGUUCAGGCAUCGCUGCUCGCUGUGCCCAGUACAACGUCUCCAAGGCAUGUCCAAGCAUAGCUUCAUGCACAGCACUAUGCACCUAUAAAUAUAAGGCGGACACGGUUUAUGGUGUAUGUGCUGAUAACGGAUGCUGGUGCGUAGUCUGCGUGAUACCACCUGCAGCUCAAUCUGCGUCUGCAGCCCAGAUUGCGCCCGCAGGGAAUUAAAGGAUAUCGCUUGCUUCCCUUUCUGCCUAAAUAGAAUAAAACAAUGUCUGAUUAAUGUAUUUUUCUCGUACCGACAACAUUGUAUCGGUGUAAGGACCCGUGAGGCAAAAUAACAUCCUAUUAA